rnacentral:lncRNA from 1 species
GUAUACACAGCGCAAAUCGUCCUUUGUGGCCUGUCUACCGUUGGCAUCAUAGCUGGUAGUGUGGCAAUAGCUGCACAGAGUCUCCGUCUUCCUAAACUCAAGGCCUGUUUGGGGAUGCAAAUUGUUUUGUGUGUAGUGUCAAUAGACUCCUUUUUUAUGAGCUCUGGAGUAAUGAUGCACAACAAGCUACUUGAGAGCUGCUGGGACUUUCUACAUGAAAACUACACUUCUGAUCAAUACUUUAUAUGCGAAAGGCUGUCGAUUGCGUAUGAUCAUGUGAAAGGACUGGAAAUGCUAGUGCUCGGAGCUCAGAUUGCCAUCUCUGCCACUUUAUCUGCGUUCUGCUGCAAAGUUAUUCAGUGCUGUUCUCCCCGGUCCAGCAUUCCCACGAUUGUUCUGAAUGCAGCCUCAGCUCCUCAGAGACGGCCAUCCAUACAAUAAACCAUGUAAUCAUUCAUAUGCUGUUACACAUAUACACAUAUACACAUAUACACAAGUAUGUAAUGAAUUUGUAACAUUAAACACCAGUCUAGUACUAAAAGUAAUACAAUUCUGCUCACUUAGAUUUUGUAAAUCUUACUGUUCUAACACACUAAUACACAAUAUUAUGUUUAAGAGGAAAAAUAAAUACACUGUAAUUAUAUGCAUCAUAUGUAUCAUUUAGGAGUCCUAUGAAAAUGUAUAAAUUUUUUUUUCUACCUAAAAUAGUUUAGACCAUUAAUAGAGCUGCAUACACAUACAUAUACUCAAGAUUAUAUACACAAAUGAAUGUGUUAUUACACUGGACUUGUAUACCAGCCACAAAUGAUAUAUGGAUUUGAA